CUGCUGGCUAAGGCAUGAAAGUGCUAUGCCUGCUG
rnacentral:misc_RNA from 1 species